GACGAACGCUGGCGGCGUGCCUAAUACAUGCAAGUUGAGCGCUGAAGGUUGGUACUUGUACCAACUGGAUGAGCAGCGAACGGGUGAGUAACGCGUGGGGAAUCUGCCUUUGAGCGGGGGACAACAUUUGGAAACGAAUGCUAAUACCGCAUAAAAACUUUAAACACAAGUUUUAAGUUUGAAAGAUGCAAUUGCAUCACUCAAAGAUGAUCCCGCGUUGUAUUAGCUAGUUGGUGAGGUAAAGGCUCACCAAGGCGAUGAUACAUAGCCGACCUGAGAGGGUGAUCGGCCACAUUGGGACUGAGACACGGCCCAAACUCCUACGGGAGGCAGCAGUAGGGAAUCUUCGGCAAUGGACGAAAGUCUGACCGAGCAACGCCGCGUGAGUGAAGAAGGUUUUCGGAUCGUAAAACUCUGUUGGUAGAGAAGAACGUUGGUGAGAGUGGAAAGCUCAUCAAGUGACGUUAACUACCCAGAAAGGGACGGCUAACUACGAG
rnacentral:rRNA from 1 species